GGCACAAAUAAAAAGUUAACCCCAAGCACGGCGUUGAUAUCAUCCAACGAAAAUUGCGUACGGGUCAGUAGAGCAGGAUAUCACCUUGUUCGGAAUCCUAAUCGGGGGGACCGCGGAAAUACUAGAGCUAAAUACAAGCAACUAUGCCCCAACAUAAGGUGUUGGUGCAUUUAUUAGAACAAGACCAAAAUGUUUGGGGACAUUUGUCUGAUGACUCCGAAUAAAGCAGUUUACCGUCGGUUUCGAUCGACUCUAUCCGAACAGGGGUGUAUGCCCUUUCAAUUAGAUGUUAGUUCAUUGGGCUCCCAUGGUUGUUACGGGUAACGGAGAAUUGUGGUUCGACUCCAAAGAGGGAGCCUUUGAAACCGUCACCACGUCCAAAGAAGGCAGCAGGCGCGAAACUUAUACACAUCUGAGUAUGAGGUCAUGAUUAAAAAUAUAAAGACUCUGGCUUGUGGAUCAGUUAUUUCAAUGACCUGAAUACAAUUGAUUCCUUGAGAAGCAAGGUGAGGGCAAGUCUGUCACCAGGACCCCCGGUAAUUCCAGCUCUCCUAGUGUGUCU
rnacentral:ncRNA from 1 species